rnacentral:rRNA from 1 species
CGUAACACGUAAGCAACCUGCCCGAAAGACCGGGACAACAGCUCGAAAGGGCUGCUAAUACCGGAUGUGUCCGCUUUGCCUCAUGGCUUAGCGAGUAAAUCAUUUAUGGCUUUCGGAGGGGCUUGCGGCCUAUCAGCUAGAUGGCGGUGUAACGGACCCCCAUGGCGACGACGGGUAGCUGGUCUGAGAGGAUGGUCAGCCGGACUGGGACUGAGAUACGGCCCAG